UGUAAACUAGACGGAAAAGAUCAUCCUCUUCAUAUGAGCAAAAACGUCCUUGGCAUAACAGCAGAGUGGACCGGUAUACUACGGUCUAUUUAAACUGACCAGUGUAACCUUUUAUAUGUUUGGUUGACUGUACUUAAUCUUAAUAAUGAACAGACUGCGAUGUAAGUUUGAAAUUAGAAUGCACUUUAGAUGUUCUGUGUCAUUUAUACCAAACACUAAAUAUUUUUUACGCUCUUUAAUUUGUAGUGAGAUAUUUGCCUCCUUUCAAGCGGCAUGUGAAUCCAUUAUAUUUUCCUGUUUAAUAUUUGCAGCACGAAAUACAAAGGAAUAAAUAUUUGAGUGCAUGUUGGAAAAAAAACAGAACAAUUUAAUACAAACGAGUGUCUCGUGAAAUAAAUCAAUUUGAGUUUAAAAAAAUCGUCAGUAAGCCUAUUGCUGUUUUUCGUGUUAAAUGUGAAGAAUGCCACAUACUUUUUUUUUUUAUUAAUUUUUUGGCGGAGUAUACAGGUGUAAUAUAUUCACUUUUACUUCACGCAAUGUAACAUGAUUUUAUUAUCGCAAUUUUCACUUUAUUCCUAAAAUAUUAUGACGCUAAUCUUAUUGAUUUAAUUUUUUUUGAGAAGGAUAAACUGAUCAAAAAUGCUCAACUCACUGUCUUGCGCUGGCCACUUUGUAGGCUAUUUAAAAAACAAACAAACUUGAAUUUAACAAACAUAAAAUGUUCCAAUCAUAUUUCUGAAUUAAAAUGAAUAAAGAAUCAAAAUGAAAUAUGACCACUUUGCCAUUAAAAACCAAAACUAAACUAUUAUAAUGGCUGCAACGGCAGCUGUGUAAUGAGGACAGCGACACGGGCUCGGGUCGGACUAUCAGAGAAUUCUGAUUAGCCCCGGACCGGGCCGUGUAAGGCUCUAUAUUAGUUCCUUCAAUAGUUUAUGGUUAUAAAUACAGACGUUAUUUGUUCACGGCUAAGUCUAUAUUAGCCUGUUAAAUAUGUUUUACGACGUUAAAAUAAUGUUUUAGGCUAAUUCAGCCUGUUCACCAUAUGUUUUAGCGCGUACUGUGUUUUAAGAAUGAUAUUCUGUUUUAGCGCGUAAUGUGUUUUAAGUCUAAUAUUCAUGGCUGAAUUAAUCUGUUCUAAUCUUAAUUAAUCUGUAAAAUUUAAAAAAAAAAAAUGCUAUUAAUGUUCAUGCUCAUUUUUAAAAUAGAAAUGUCCUAGGCUCCUACAGCCUUGUGAGCAGUUGAUAAUCGAUGGACUGUUAUGUUAAUAAUGCUGCGUUCCAGGCAAACCGUAACCCAUGUUUUUCCAACCUUCUACCUGUGAAAGUGCACUGGAACAUCAGUCAAACCCGUGACUUCCAACCCGUGAACUCGUACUAGAUCGACAUACUCCCAGUUCUGAGCUCUGACGUCACAUAGCCCGGGAAACAACAAUGGCAGCCCCUGCGGAUAAUAUUGCCCACAGAUGCGGUGUUUAUGCAAGUGGUACACGGUGAAAAAUAGACUUUAGGAUAAUAUAACGUUGCAAUAAAUAAACAAAGGGGUGCGAUUUUCGACUACUAAUCGAAUAAUACCCAGCGAUUAUCGAAUAUUACGAAUA
ensembl:lncRNA